AGUCUUCCUGCUCCUCACACUCACAGUUUAGUUAUGCCGGGCCGGAAUGACGUCAUAUUCACUAAACUGUGAGUGUGAGGAGCAGGAAGACU